rnacentral:lncRNA from 1 species
UGCACCACACGCACCACACCACACACACACACAUACACACACACGAGCAGAGCAAGGGACAGCCAUGUUGUGUGAUCUGGGAGGGUGGCUCAUCCUCUCUGAGUUGUUUAUAAACCGGGCGGGACCCAGGCCUGCCAAUCAAAGGCCUGAUCUGAAUGCUCUUAUUGGUUCAGAGAUGGACAUGUGACCCUCUCUUGGCCAAUCAGAGGCUUUCCUGCUGGAAGGGCUGCUGGAAGCCAUCUUCGCACGGUUCUUCCCUUGGCUUUAGAGCCCCGAAGCGCUCUUUGACUUGAGCUGCUUUGCAUUCUCUCUGUCCUGCCAUCGAGAAAGUUCUGAGCGGCUCAGAAGUAAUACUGACACUAUCAACGGAGGGGGACUGCAGUUUCGCUGGUGGCCCCACAGCCCCCUGCCUCCAGCCAGGGGACAAAGAACAGGAGGGAUCCAGAGGUGAGAGAGGAGGUGCACAGUAGCUGCAGGGCCGGACCCUGAUGAAGGGAGAUGCUGUCCCACACGGAGCCCCUGCCAGCCCCCAGAUCACCAAGGCUGGAGCCCCCCAGUGACUCUGCUGGUCACGUCUGUGGGAUCCCUGCUCACCCCUCUGUCCUCACCCCUUCCCUCUCCCCCUGGCCACCUGCAGCCUCCUCCUGCCUGCUCAGCCGUGGGUCUCUUUCCCUCUGAUCCACUCACCAUGGGACCGCCAGGCAGCUCCCAAAUCCAAACAUGACCAUGAGCUGCCCCGGCUUGAAACCCAAGCAUGACCCCCUGUCACAGGCUGGACCAAGUCCUGAGUUCCUAAACCACCUUCAGGGCUGCCUGCACCUGCACCUCCCGCUCCUGCUGUGCCCUGAUCCCAUGUGCUGGGUGAACUGGGUUCUUCCGAGCCCUCCAGCCCUGGAUGCUAACCCCAGAGCUGCAAGGUGAGGGGCACCUACGCCGGCAGCCAUUCCCCAUGGGAGGGGCAGUGCUGGAGGUGCCCUGGGUGACCAGGACGGGCCGCCGCCCCUCUGCUGGCCUUAGUGCCCUUGUCUGUGAAAUGGGGCGAGCAGUUCCUCUCUCAGAGCUGCUGCGAGGACUGAGUCUCUCUGAGCUCAGGAUUUUCCUCUCUCUGAGCUCCAAAACCACGGGCAAAUCACACCCUCUCACUCUCAGCUUCCUGAUCUACAAGACAGGGAUGGUGAUAGAGUACUCAACUCCUAGGGCAGUUGUGGGGCAUGUGAAGCAUUCAGCCCAGGGUCUGGCACCCUGAAAGGGCCAAACCUGUGUGAGCCACAGUUUUAUGGUUGAUCAUCAAUGCCUGUCUAAGAAAGCCCCAUUCAGCUUGAACCCAGCUCUCCAGGAAGAGCUCACUGACACCCUCCUCACACACCCCAAUCGGCCGUCUUUAUUCAUCCCCAAAAGUGAUGUACAAGGAAUGAGUCUUUGGGGGUGUGUCCGUCAUCACCCACUGGGGCUGCUUGUGUCUCCAGCUAUCCCUCCGAGGAAUUCUGCCCCAGACAGCAGAGAGAUGGGGGGCAGGGGACACAUGGCCAUGAGGACAGAGAGCCCUGAGAGGGACUGGGGAAUCGAGACAUCGUUUUCAAAUAAUUGCAGCAAUCAAGAGAGACUGUACAUCCCAUCCCAGACAAAGGGAGACCUAAAAUGAGAGAAUGGAGCUGGGCGCAGUGGUUCACGCCUG